UACGUAGGGACCAAGCGUUGUUCGGAUUUACUGGGCGUAAAGGGCGCGUAGGCGGCUUAACAAGUCACUUGUGAAAUCUCCGGGCUUAACUCGGAACGGCCAAGUGAAACUGUCAAGCUAGAGUGCAGAAGGGGCAAUCGGAAUUCUUGGUGUAGCGGUGAAAUGCGUAGAUAUCAAGAGGAACACCUGAGGUGAAGACGGGUUGCUGGGCUGACACGUGACGCUGAGGCGCGAAAGCCAGGGGGAGCAAACGGGG
rnacentral:rRNA from 1 species